CCUACGGGGAGCAGCAGUGGGGAAUAUUGCGCAAUGGGGGAAACCCUGAUGCAGCGACGCCGCGUGAGUGAAGAAGUAAUUCGUUAUGUAAAGCUCUAUCAGCAGGGAAGAAACUUACGGUACCUGAGUAAUAAUCCCCGGCUAACUACGUGCCAGCAGCCGCCGUAAUACGUAGGGGGCACGCGUUAGCCGGAGUUACUGGGUGGAACGGGAACGUAGACGGCAGUGCAAGUCUGGAGUGAAAGGCGGGGGCUCAACCACCGGACUGCUUUGGAAACUGUACGGCUGGAGUGCGUGAGAGGAUAGUGGAAUUCCUAGGGUAGCGGUGAAAUGCGUAGAUAUUAGGAGGAACACCAGUGGCGAAGGCGGCUUACUGGAAUGUAACUGACGUUGAGGAUCGAAAGCGUGGGGAGCAAACAGGAUUAGAUACCCUAGUAGUC
rnacentral:rRNA from 1 species